CUCCCAGCUCUUGUGGUUUUCCUCCACAUAUGAAGCAAUCAUGGCCUCCACAUUUCGGUUAAUCCUCUCAGUCAGGUUUGUUUGAGGAUGGUAGGGCGAGGUCCUUUUUUGCUUGAGGUUCCACCGCCUGCAGGUCUCCUCAAAGACAGAUGACACAAACUGGGAACCUUGGUCUGAGAGGAUGAAGGUCGGCACACCCCAGCGAGUCAAAAUCUCCUUUCUUAGGAUCUGGGAGACGGUCUCUGCGGUUGCUUUGCGAAGGGGAAACAUUUCAACCCAUCUGGUGUAAUAGUCCACAAAGACAAUGAGGUAGAGGUUGCCGCUGGAGCUUUGAGGAAAAGGUCCCAUGAGGUCAACUCCUAACAUCUCCCAGGGUUCUUGAACCACAGUUUGUUGCAGUUUUCCAGGAGGUUUCCGCGUCUCAGAUGACCAGAUAGAGGAUUGUCAUGAUAAUGGUGGAGAAGAGUGAUGAUGGCAUGUACACGUGGUAACUUGUUUUGUGAGGUAAUUGUACCACUCUGUAUACUUUGUCCUCCAAAACAGUAAAUUUGGUUGUAGGAUUUUCCAUCACUUCUCCUGUAUCCAUGAUUCUAUCAUACAGGUUUUAGAUGACAGAAUCCUCUUGCUGGGCUUUCCAAAUGUCCUCAUCAGUGACUUGGAGAUUUUUAGAGGUGUCCCUCUUGGAUCGUAGCACAGCAGCACAAGUUGACAGAACAUCUGGCACUGUAUUGUACUUUCCUUUACAGUAUUCCACCGUAAAGGAGAACUCCUGGAGGUGGAGUGCCCACCGGAUCAGAGUGCUGGGCUUUUGGGUUUUAAAAACCCAGACAACCCAGACAAAUGGUCUGUCACAACUGUAAAGUGUCUGCCCUCCAAGUAAUACCUCCAUUUCUCCAGGGCCCAGACAACAGCGAGGCAUUCUUGCUCUGUUGUGGAGUAGUUUCUCUCUGCCUGAUUUAGAGUACAGCUGGCGAAGGUAAGGACUUGCUCUGCACCCAAUCCAGUCUGUUGAGUCAAGACGGCCCCCAAGCCGACGUUGCUGGCAUCAGUGUAAACAACAAAUUGAAGGUUGAAGUCAGGAUGUCCCAGGAUUGGUGGAGAAACCGGAUGUUGUUUCAGGGCCUCAAACACUGCCUGACAUGGGGAGGUCCAAAUGAACUUGGCUACUUUCCAUUUAAGUGCGUUGAGUGGUUCAGUCAGCUGAGAGAAAUGGGGCACAAAACGAUGAUACCAUCCAGCCAUACAAAGAAAUCUUGGUAUUUUUAGAAGUGUCCCUCUUGGAUUGUAGCACAGCAGCACAAGUUAACAGAACAUCUGGCACUGUAUUGUACUUUCCUUUACAGUAUUCCAUGAUAUGGCCCAAAAACGUCAAUGAAGUUUGGAAGAAUUGGCUCUUUUUGAUGUUCACAGUCAGGUUAGCUUCUCUUAGCUUGUCAGUUACUGCCUGUAUGUCAUAGUUGUGCUGUUUAACUGUAUCAGAGUAGAUAAUGAUGUCAUCCAAGUACACAAAACAGGUUUUUCCCCGUAGGUCCCCAAGAACUAGUUCCAUCAGCCGCUGGAAGGUAGGUGGGGCAUUUUUAAGUCCGAAUGACAUUACCUUGAACUGGUAGAGGCCAAAGGGACAGAUGAAGGCAGUUUUUUCUCUGCUGUCUUUAUCCAUCUGAACCUCCCAGUAGCCACUAUUGACGUCCAAGGUAGUGACCACAGCUCUAGCCAGGUACAAGGGCCCUCUUGUCCAAGGCUUUAGCAUGUCCUGCGGUCUUUUGAUUCCUGACCACACAUUUUCAUUUAUCAGAGUGUACGAUGAACCAGUGUCGAGGAUGGCGGUUCCCUUCCAUGGACCAAUGUUCAAGGGAACCCUCAACUGGCAAGAAAGCAGGUUUUCAAGUGGUAAUGAAGGAGUGUUUCCAGAGGUAAAGUUUCCCUGAGUGAGGGAACCAAGUGUGAGAUGACCAUCUUGGCCAUGGGUAGUUUGUGCAGCUUGCUGCUGUGAGGGUCUAGGUGAAGAAGCUCGCUUAGAGUUCCACUGUGGGCAGGAAGCUGGUGCAUGACUUCCCUUGCAGCGCCAACAGUACACAAAGGGGGGUUUGUUAUGGCUGGGUUGGUUUGGUCGGACAGGGUUUUCUCUGGUGUUAUGAGACAGGGCAGCAGAUUUAGACGCAGCAGGCUUGGGUGUUUUCUUCAAUAUAUUCUUUCUCUAUUCAUACUGCAGCUGGUUUUCCCGGUCCUUCUCAAAUUGCUGGCCAAGGUGGACAAGUGCAUCGACAGAGGUCAUGAAACUGGUCAUGAAACUCCUUCCACGUGCAGAUUUUAUGGCGACCUACAUCCCACCAAUCUCUUGCAGUUCCAUGAAGUACAUUACGCAGGGUCGCAAUGAGCUCUUCAUCUGUGAGCGGAUUGAGAGCUAGGAAGUCAUCACACCUUUCCAGUGGGACAGCUCCUCCUGCAGGUGAGUUACUGCAUCAGACAUUGAGGUGAGAACGGAGAAAAGAUCCUUCAGCAGGUCAGUAUGAUAAUGUUUUAGCCUCCAGCCAAGGGAUGCGUUGAAUUGAGAUUGUAGAUAUUCAAGCUGUUUAUCCACAUGCUUGAUGACCUCUCUUUGUUGUUCCUGAAAUAGGUCGGUCAGUGGUUUGGUUUCUUGUUUAGUAUGAGUUGUGAUUUCUUUCGUCAUUCGUGCCAUGUUCUCUUUUAUUUCCUGCUGGUGGUGAAGUUGAUCCUCUGCAAUUUUCUGAAGGUGUUGCUGAAUCCCAUAGCCAGAAAAGGUUUCCUCUAAGGCAGAAAUUUCAGGCCGAGGUCCUCCAUGACUAUUUCGACGGCGUUAAGGGAUGAGCAAGUUCAGAAAACACAGUGAGAUCCAUGUCCAACAGAGAGUAUGUUGUAGGAGGUAACUCCCGGGCCGGCACAACAUUGACAUUUGGCAGUAGUGACUCUACUGAUCCUCCUUCCAUUUCACACCACAAGGACUCUGAGUUAGCAGCCAUUUUGUAUGUGUCGG